UACGGAGGGUGCAAGCAUUGAUCGGAAUUACUGGGCGUAAAGGGCGCGUAGGCGGCAGGAGAAGUCAGAUGUGAAAUUCCGGGGCUCAACCCCGGAGCAGCAUUUGAAACUGACCCGCUAGAGGGUAGUAAGGGAAAACGGAAUUCCACGUGUAGCGGUGAAAUGCGUAGAUAUGUGGAAGAACACCGGUGGUGAAGACGGUUUUCUGUGCUAAACCAGACGCUGAGGCGCGAAAGCUAGGGGAGCAAACAGG
rnacentral:rRNA from 1 species